GUCUUUUUGAAUUAAAUUUAAAGUCUAACCUGCCCACUGAAAAUUUUAAAUGGCCGCAGUAUUUUAACUGUGCAAAGGUAGCAUAAUCAUUAGUCUUUUAAUUGAAGGCUGGAAUGAAUGGUUGGACGAAAUAUUAACUGUUUCAUUUAAAUUUUUUAUAGAAUUUUAUUUUUUAGUCAAAAAGCUAAAAUAAAUUUAAAAGACGAGAAGACCCUAUAAAUCUUUAUAUUUUAUUUAUUUUAAUUAUAAAGAUUAUUUUUAUUAUAAUAAAUUAAAGUAUUUUAUUGGGGUGAUAUUAAAAUUUAAAAAACUUUUAAUUUUUAAAACCAUUAAUUUAUGAAUAAUUGAUCCAUUAAUAAUGAUUAAAAAUUUAAGUUACUUUAGGGAUAACAGCGUAAUUUUUUUGGAGAGUUCAUAUCGAUAAAAAAGAUUGCGACCUCGAUGUUGGAUUAAGAUAUAAUUUUGGGUGUAGCCGUUCAAAUUUUAAGUCUGUUCGACUUUUAAAUUCUU
rnacentral:rRNA from 1 species